rnacentral:rRNA from 1 species
AAAUGAAUAGACGGGGACCCGCACAAGCAGCGGAGCAUGUGGUUUAAUUCGAAGCAACGCGAAGAACCUUACCAGGUCUUGACAUCCCUCUGAAUAAUGCUUAGCCGCAUUAGUCCUUCGGGACAGAGGAGACAGGUGGUGCAUGGUUGUCGUCAGCUCGUGUCGUGAGAUGUUGGGUUAAGUCCCGCAACGAGCGCAACCCUUGUGUUUAGUUGCAAACAGGUUAAGCUGUGCACUCUAAACAGACUGCCGUGGAUAACACGGAGGAAGGUGGGGAUGACGUCAAAUCAUCAUGCCCCUUAUGAUCUGGGCUACACACGUGCUACAAUGGUCGGUACAACGGGCAGCGAAAGAGCAAUCUGGAGCGAAUCCUAAAAAGCCGAUCCCAGUUCGGAUUGUGGGCUGAAACUCGCCCACAUGAAGUUGGAGUUGCUAGUAAUCGCGAAUCAGAAUGUCGCGGUGAAUGCGUUCCCGGGUCUUGUACACACCGCCCGU